AAACACUGUGCCAUCUCCAGAAAUAAAGCAUGGUGCCACACGGGUGCUUCAGAGGAAAGUGUCAGCCGCACGGAAGGCACAUGUUCACAGGUCAGAAGAGACAGGCUGUCUGACUGCAUGUGGGGGUGGAGGGGCGAGGAUCGGGGGAGGUGCUAUCACAGGCAACUCAUGACUAGGUGAUGUUUUACUUUCCAUGAAUAAGAUUCCUGAAUUCACACUUUCCCAGAAGAAACCAGAAAUAGUCAGCAUUUUUUGAAUUAUGUUCUGCAUAGUCAAGAUAUCUUACAGGGUUAUUUUUUAAAUUUAUUCUUUAGAAUUGAAUCAAUAACGUGUCUAAAUUUGUUACUAGUUCUUUCCAAAUACAGAUGUAAUCAAAUACACUUGAUUACAUGCUCAAUGUAAUCAAGUGGAAUAUUGCAAAUAAUAUAAGAACUGGUAAAAUUACUGAUGACAGGUUUUCAAAUGCUUCUAAAUAAAGAGCCUCUAAUCUGUGACAAGUCUGAAACAAGAGCUAAAAGUUAAACUUAAGGCUUAUUAAUGCACUAAGAAAUGGCCAAGGGCCCGCUGAGAACAGAAUGAAAAUGGAAAAGAAAAAAUACUCCAAUGUAAAAG